rnacentral:rRNA from 1 species
CGCGGUAAUACGUAGGUGGCAAGCGUUGUCCGGAUUUACUGGGCGUAAAGGAUGUGUAGGCGGAUACUUAAGUGAGAUGUGAAAGCCCUGGGCUUAACCUGGGGACUGCAUUUCAAACUGGGUAUCUAGAGUGCAGGAGAGGAAAGCGGAAUUCCUAGUGUAGCGGUGAAAUGCGUAGAGAUUAGGAAGAACAUCAGUGGCGAAGGCGGCUUUCUGGACUGUAACUGACGCUGAGGCAUGAAAGCGUGGGGAGCAAACAGGAUUAGAUACCCUGGUAGUCCACGCCGUAAACGAUGAGUACUAGGUGUAGGAGGUAUCGACUCCUUCUGUGCCGCAGUUAACACAAUAAGUACUCCGCCUGGGAAGUACGGUCGCAAGAUUAAAACUCAAAGGAAUUGGCGGGGGCCCGCACAAGCAGCGGAGCAUGUGGUUUAAUUCGAAGCAACGCGAAGAACCUUACCUAGACUUGACAUCUCCUGAAUAGCGUAGAGAUACGUGAAGCCCUUCGGGGCAGGAAGACAGGUGGUGCAUGGUUGUCGUCAGCUCGUGUCGUGAGAUGUUGGGUUAAGUCCCGCAACGAGCGCAACCCUUAUCAUUAGUUGCUACCAUUAAGUUGAGCACUCUAGUGAGACUGCCCGGGUUAACCGGGAGGAAGGCGGGGAUGACGUCAAAUCAUCAUGCCCCUUAUGUCUAGGGCUACACACGUGCUACAAUGGUGAGAACAACGAGAUGCAAUACCGCGAGGUGGAGCCAAACUUGAAAACUCAUCCCAGUUCGGAUUGCAGGCUGAAAUUCGCCUGCAUGAAGUUGGAGUUGCUAGUAAUCGCGAAUCAGAAUGUCGCGGUGAAUACGUUCCCGGGCCUUGUACACACCGCCCGUCACACCAUGAGAGCUGGUAACACCCGAAGU